rnacentral:hammerhead_ribozyme from 1 species
GCACUGCUGAAGAGUCCCACAAUAGGACGAAACGGUCGUUCAGUGC